CCCUUAGAUGUUCUGGGCUGCACGCGUGUUACAAUCGGGAGUACAACAAGAUUGCAAAUCCUAGUGGAUGAGUGGUUCUUCGAAAUUUUCUGAAGACUGGGAUAGUUGAUUGAAAUUAUUCAACUCGAACGAGGAAUUCCUUGUAAUUGUAAUUCAUUAUAUUGUAAUGAAUACGUCCCUGCCCGUUGUACACACCGCCCGUCGCUCCUACCGAUUGAACGAUCCGGUGAAUUAUUUGGAGUAGCUCUGGAAGUUGUAGAACUUCCUAUGUCACGAAAUUUUGUAAACCUUAUCGUUUAGAGGAAGGAAAAGUCGUAACA
rnacentral:rRNA from 1 species